CUACACGAAGCUGGAAUCGCUAGUAAUACGCGGAUCAGCACGCCGCGGUGAAUACGUUCCCGGGCCUUGUACACACCGCCCGUCAAGCCAUGGAAGCCGGGGGUGCCUGAAGUGCGCUGCCGCAAGGAGCGUCCUAGGGUAAAACCGGUGACUGGGGCUAAGUCGUAACAAGGUACC
rnacentral:rRNA from 1 species